AGUGAACGCUGGCGGUAGGCCUAACACAUGCAAGUCGAACGGCAGCACAGGAGAGCUUGCUCUCUGGGUGGCGAGUGGCGGACGGGUGAGGAAUACAUCGGAAUCUACUUUUUCGUGGGGGAUAACGUAGGGAAACUUACGCUAAUACCGCAUACGACCUACGGGUGAAAGCAGGGGAUCUUAGGACCUUGCGCGAUUGAAUGAGCCGAUGUCGGAUUAGCUAGUUGGCGGGGUAAAGGCCCACCAAGGCGACGAUCCGUAGCCGGUCUGAGAGGAGGAUCAGCCACACUGGAACUGAGACACGGUCCAGACUCCUACGGGAGGCAGCAGUGGGGAAUAUUGGACAAUAGGCGCAAGCCUGAUCCAGCCAUACCGCGUGGGUGAAGAAGGCCUUCGGGUUGUAAAGCCCUUUUGUUGGGAAAGAAAUCCAGCUGGUUAAUACCCGGUUGGGAUGACGGUACCCAAAGAAUAAGCACCGGCUAACUUCGUGCCAGCCGCCGCAGUAA
rnacentral:rRNA from 1 species